GAUGAACGCUGGCGGCGUGCCUAAUACAUGCAAGUCGAGCGAACGGACGAGAAGCUUGCUUUUCUGAUGUUAGCGGCGGACGGGUGAGUAACACGUGGAUAACCUACCUAUAAGACUGGGAUAACUUCGGGAAACCGGAGCUAAUACCGGAUAAUAUUUUGAACCGCAUGGUUCAAAAGUGAAAGACGGUCUUGCUGUCACUUAUAGAUGGAUCCGCGCUGCAUUAGCUAGUUGGUAAGGUAACGGCUUACCAAGGCAACGAUGCAUAGCCGACCUGAGAGGGUGAUCGGCCACACUGGACCUGAGACACGGUCCAGACUCUACGGGAGGCAGCAGUAGGGAAUCUUCCGCAAUGGGCGAAAGCCUGACGGAGCAACGCCGCGUGAGUGAUGAAGGUCUUCGGAUCGUAAAACUCUGUUAUUAGGGAAGAACAUAUGUGUAAGUAACUGUGCACAUCUUGACGGUACCUAAUCAGAAAGCCACGGCUAACUACGUG
rnacentral:rRNA from 1 species